AGUCUUAUGAUUUCUAUAUAAGAUAAUUUCUGCCCAAUGAUUUUUUUAAUGGCCGCAGUACUUUGACUGUGCUAAGGUAGCAUAAUAAAUUGGCUUUUAAAUGAGGUCUAGAAUGAAUGAAUUUUUGGGUAAUAAUUGUCUCUAAUUAAUUUAAAUAAAAUUGAUUUAUUAAGUGAAAAGACUUAAAAAAUUUUAGAAAGACGAGAAGACCCUUAGAAUUUUAAAAAUUCAUAAAAUAAUUUAUGUUUUAUUUUGUUGGGGUGACAUAUUAACAUUUUUAACUUAUUUUUUUACAAGACGAUUAUUUUAGGAGCGAAAAAAUUACCUUAGGGAUAACAGCAUAAUUUUCUUUUAAGAUUAUGACCUCGAUGUUGGACUAGGGACUUAUUUAAUUAGUAAUUAAAUAAGAUAGUUCUGUUCGAACUUUUUUCUCCU
rnacentral:rRNA from 1 species